AAGAGAUUCAUUGGAAGAACAGAGUGCUAAAUCUAGCUCACUUGCAAACAAUUCUUACCAAAGUCUUUGUUAGUGCUCUAGGGUUUCAUUAAAAGAUACAAUCAAUUCACUAGGAUCUGGACAUGUCUUCUCAUUGAUAUGUUCAUGUCCAACUUUUUUAACUGAUGACAGCAACCUGGGAAUCAGCCAAUUGUCUAUUAAGUUCUAUACCAUCUUUCCCACUCGCAGGAAUCUCUGGUUUAACUUUUAUUUUAACUGGUUUUCCAAUCUUUGAUUUGUCUUCCAUUCUCGCUAAUCCAAGAGCCCUUUCACAUAUCACACCAGAGCCAAUGCAGGUUCUUCCCUGGCAAAAGGCUGCAAAUGGGUAGAUAACGUUGGCAUAAUGCCCAGAAGCAACAUAAUCAAAUUCCAUACUGCGGAUGGAUCCAUUAAUGCACAUGCAACCAAAAAAAAUACAUAAUUUGAAAGAGGGAGUAAAACAUGGAGUCAACUCAUCAAUGGAUAAUUUCCACCUUCAAGUUCAAUUGAUACAUACCAAACUUAGUCCUUGUAUUGCAAAGUACAUCUGGAUUGGGAGUACGGCCAGGGGUGGAACUACUAAAGGGUUGAAGGCCCCCCCUAAAAUUUUUAUAAUUAAAAUUUCACUUAAAAAUUUUAAUAUAUUUUUUAAUAAAAUUACUGUUUGCCCCUCCAAAACUUUUAAAAUUAAAAUUUUAUCAAUAAAUUUUACUGUAUUUUUUAAAGAAUUUCUGUUUGCUCCUCCAAUUU
rnacentral:misc_RNA from 1 species